rnacentral:rRNA from 1 species
CACGCCGUAAACGGUGGGUACUAGGUGUGGGGGACAUUCCACGUUCUCCGUGCCGCAGCUAACGCAUUAAGUACCCCGCCUGGGGAGUACGGCCGCAAGGCUAAAACUCAAAGGAAUUGACGGGGCCCCGCACAAGCGGCGGAGCAUGCGGAUUAAUUCGAUGCAACGCGAAGAACCUUACCUGGGUUUGACAUAUGCCGGAAAGGCCUAGAGAUAGGCCCCCCCUUGUGGUCGGUUUACAGGUGG